rnacentral:rRNA from 1 species
UUCCGGUUGAUCCCGCCGGACCCGACUGCUAUCAGAGUGGGACUAAGCCAUGCGAGUCGACACAGCAAUGUGUGGCAUACGGCUCAGUAACACGUAGUCAACAUGCCCAGGGGACGUGGAUAACCUCGGGAAACUGAGGAUAAACCGCGAUAGGUCACUACUUCUGGAAUGGGUAAUGACCCAAACCUAUAUGGCCCCUGGAUUGGACUGCGGCCGAUCAGGCUGUUGGUGAGGUAAUGGCCCACCAAACCUGUAACCGGUACGGGCUCUGAGAGGAGGAGCCCGGAGAUGGGCACUGAGACAAGGGCCCAGGCCCUAUGGGGCGCAGCAGGCGCGAAACCUCUGCAAUAGGCGAAAGCUUGACAGGGUUACUCUGAGUGAUUUCCGUUAAGGAGAUCUUUUGGCACCUCUAAAAAUGGUGCAGAAUAAGGGGUGGGCAAGUCUGGUGUCAGCCGCCGCGGUAAUACCAGCACCCCGAGUGGUCGGGACGUUUAUUGGGCCUAAAGCAUCCGUAGCCGGUUCCACAAGUCUUCCGUUAAAUCCACCUGCUCAACAGAUGGGCUGCGGAAGAUACUAUGGAGCUAGGAGGCGGGAGAGGCAAGCGGUACUCGAUGGGUAGGGGUAAAAUCCGUUGAUCCAUUGAAGACCACCAGUGGCGAAGGCGGCUUGCCAGAACGCGCUCGACGGUGAGGGAUGAAAGCUGGGGGAGCAAACCGGAUUAGAUACCCGGGUAGUCCCAGCUGUAAACGAUGCAGACUCGGUGAUGAGUUGGCUUUAUGCCAACUCAGUGCCGCAGGGAAGCCGUUAAGUUUGCCGCCUGGGGAGUACGGUCGCAAGACUGAAACUUAAAGGAAUUGGCGGGGGAGCACCACAAGGGGUGAAGCCUGCGGUUCAAUUGGAUUCAACGCCGGG